GCGCUCACUUUGGCAGCACAUAUAGUAAAAUUGGAACGAUACAGAGAAGAUAAGCAUGGCCCCUGCGCAAGGUUGACAUGCAAAUUCGUAAACCGUUCUAUAUAUCU
ensembl:snRNA U6 U6 spliceosomal RNA